rnacentral:rRNA from 1 species
AGGCUUAACACAUGCAAGUCGAGGGGCAGCAUGGUCUUAGCUUGCUAAGGUCGAUGGCGACCGGCGCACGGGUGAGUAACGCGUAUCCAACCUGCCUUACACUCUUGGACAGCCUUCUGAAAGGGAGAUUAAUACAAGAUGUUAUCAUGAGUAAGCAUUUUCGCAUGAUUAAAGGUUUACCGGUGUAAGAUGGGGAUGCGUUCCAUUAGAUAGUAGGCGGGGUAACGGCCCACCUAGUCUUCGAUGGAUAGGGGUUCUGAGAGGAAGGUCCCCCACAUUGGAACUGAGACACGGUCCAAACUCCUACGGGAGGCAGCAGUGAGGAAUAUUGGUCAAUGGACGAGAGUCUGAACCAGCCAAGUAGCGUGAAGGAUGAAGGUUCUAUGGAUUGUAAACUUCUUUUAUACGGGAAUAAACGAAUCCACGUGUGGAUUUUUGCAUGUACCGUAUGAAUAAGGAUCGGCUAACUCCGUGCCAGCAGCCGCGGUAAUACGGAGGAUCCGAGCGUUAUCCGGAUUUAUUGGGUUUAAAGGGAGCGUAGAUGGGUUGUUAAGUCAGUUGUGAAAGUUUGCGGCUCAACCGUAAAAUUGCAAUUGAUACUGGCAGUCUUGAGUACAGUUGAGGUAGGCGGAAUUCGUGGUGUAGCGGUGAAAUGCUUAGAUAUCACGAAGAACUCCGAUUGCGAAGGCAGCUUACUAACCUGUAACUGACAUUGAUGCUCGAAAGUGUGGGUAUCAAACAGGAUUAGAUACCCUGGUAGUCCACACGGUAAACGAUGAAUACUCGCUGUAGGCGAUAUACAGUCUGCGGCCAAGCGAAAGCAUUAAGUAUUCCACCUGGGGAGUACGCCGGCAACGGUGAAACUCAAAGGAAUUGACGGGGGCCCGCACAAGCGGAGGAACAUGUGGUUUAAUUCGAUGAUACGCGAGGAACCUUACCCGGGCUUAAAUUGCAACCGAAUAUGGCGGAAACGCUAUAGCUAGCAAUAGCGGUUGUGAAGGUGCUGCAUGGUUGUCGUCAGCUCGUGCCGUGAGGUGUCGGCUUAAGUGCCAUAACGAGCGCAACCCUUGCCGAUAGUUACUAACAGGUUAUGCUGAGGACUCUGUCGGGACUGCCAUCGUAAGAUGUGAGGAAGGUGGGGAUGACGUCAAAUCAGCACGGCCCUUACGUCCGGGGCUACACACGUGUUACAAUGGGGGGUACAGAGGGCUGCUACCACGCAAGUGGAUGCCAAUCCCAAAAACCUCUCUCAGUUCGGAUUGAAGUCUGCAACCCGACUUCAUGAAGCUGGAUUCGCUAGUAAUCGCGCAUCAGCCACGGCGCGGUGAAUACGUUCCCGGGCCUUGUACACACCGCCCGUCAAGCCAUGGGAGCCGGGGGUACCUGAAGUGCGUAACCGCAAGGAGCGCCCUAGGGUAAAACUGGUGACUGGGGCUAAGUAAG